rnacentral:misc_RNA from 1 species
UAAAAUCUGAUUUGACCUCACGUGUUUACAUUUGGCUCACCGUACAAGCAAGAGGCGUCAUAAACUUUCCCCAAGAUGGCAUCCACAUUGCCAUAUUUGGAAAAAAGAAACAACUUUUCAGAUGCAGCGAGUGGGGUUCAUUACGUCUUACUCCAUGUGGAUGACGGGGCCGAGUUUGAUCAACUCAAAGGCUGUGUACAGGAUUACAUAUCUUCAACGGCUACGUUAUCAACGAGUUUGUUGCAUCAAUCAACAUCAUUCUAAACACAAUGGACCCCAACAAGCAUUUCACAAUAAUAAUUGUUUGAGGAUUAUUUGUGGUUGGAUGGGAGUUUUUACUCCUGCAGUGAUAAGAACUCAGUCCAGAUAUUAUGUCACUCAAACCAGUGAUGAUGACUUUGAUGAUUCAGGCAUCAUCAGUGAUUCUGAAUUUGACAUUGAUGGCCUUGACAGAGACAGAACUUUAAGCAAAGACCAAUUUGAUCUACUAAGAGUUAACUUAUAUCAGAAUUCAAAUGAUCCGAUUGUGAAAACAAUAAGUCAAGCCAAUAGUCUUCAGGAAGUGUUUGAUACAAUUGACAAAUGCAGAGACUUCUUAACAGCAGAGCAAUCAAGCCAAGCCAUUGUUACACUCUGGGAUCUUCAGAAAGUGUAUGGAAGAUAUGGCCUUGAUUAUUCUUCCGUUACAAAUUUUCAACUUAAUACUUUAUUAGAAAAAAUUUUGAAUCACCCAACGUUUGAAAAAUUAUUAAAACACUUAGAAAAUGUCUGUGAAGAUUUGAAUAACACUGCAAUUUCCUGUAUGCUUCUAUAUUUGAAUAAGAUAGGAUUAAGGACUGAUGCACCUUUAAUGCAGAAACUUUCAGUAUUAUGCUUGGAAAGAUUAAAUAAUUUUAAUUUAAAUUCAUUGUCACGGCUUACAGUGUACCUACGAGACCAAGGUAUUAAAGCUUACUUUCUUCAGUCGAAGCUCCUGCCUAUUGUGGCAGACAAACUCAGAACUUGCUCAACACUUGAAGAAUUACAUUUGAUAACUAUAUGCCUAAAUAGUACAAAGAAAAUUAUUACAGAAUCUUUAAUUAAUGAAUACAGAAAAUUUGUUGAGAAAAAUUUGGAGGCGGGAAAUUUUGAAACUUGUGAUCCCAAGGUAAUAUUGAAAAUAAUAAAGCUUCUUAACUAUUCAAAAUGGUCAUCAAAACACUACUUCCUGUGUCGUCAGCUUAUGUUGUGUCUAGUGAAUAGGAUGCCGUCACUUGGUAUCUGGCAAGUUAUUGAUUUAAGUAAUUACUUCCAGAAUUUUUUAGAACCUCGUGAAAUAUUCACCAAGAUCCAACAAUAUUCUGUAUCACAAAUUGAAGUGUCUAAGAAUUCCAUUACAGGGCCUGAGCUGUUAUAUUUAGCUCCUUUUGGUUCAUUAAAUAGGAAGAAGUAUUUUGAAGAGUUGGUUGCUGAACAACUUGAUAAUGCAGAGUUUUAUGACUAUAUUGGUGUAAUUUUCAAGACUUUAAGAUAUAUUAAAACCUCAAAUACUAAACUGUGUAAUGCAUUUUGGACUAAGUCAAUGAAAGCGGUUGAGAGAGAGAUUGAUCAAACUACCAAUUUUCAAUUAGGCUUUGAAGAAAUACUACGCAGAAAGGUAUACCACCGGUACAUGUAUUUCAACAACAACCUUGGUGGAACAUACAGAAACUAUCACAUGGAAAAGAAUAUGUCAUCGCUGUUGCUUAAGGAUAUACGUAGUCCAACUGGCCUCGUACCUAACAAACUGGCCAGCAUGUCAGCAUUCCUGAUCAGCUAUGAUAGCAGAGAGGGAUUACCUGAAGAUAUUGUUGAGAAAAUUAUACAGUAUGGGUCUCAGUUCACCUCUUUUGAUGUUUUAAACUUGUCUCGAGGGGUCCAAAUAACACUGGCUCUAAAUCCCAAGAAUACUCGUAGGAGGCUUAUGGAGCAGAUCACUGCAAUAUGCCGUAUGCUUGACACCUGUGCAGAAGAACAAUUAAAGACUGCAAAGUCAUUAAUAGAUGUCACAACUAUUACACGGGCUUAUCUUAGUCGUCAUGGAUCUCCCAGAACUUUCUUAUUUGAUAAACUAGUCCAUGCACACCUCCCCUUUCUUCACGAACUGAAUUCACGUCUUCUGAGAGACAUCUGCUACUUCUUUUACACCACCAAACAUUUGGCUCCACAGAUAUUGGAUGCCUUGGCUCAGUAUGUAGUAGACAACCAAGAGUAUAUUCUGGUAGAUACGAUUGAGCGUUUGCUGAGCUGCUUGUAUACCCUCGGUCAUUAUCCUGCAACUGGACAACAGUUCUUCUCAGCUUGCACCAACAGCUUAUCGAAGGAUGCCCAUCAACUUAGUGGUUUAAAUAUUCUCCAGUUGUGUCUGGGACUGAAUAUGUAUGGUCAGUUGUCAUCCAAGCUGAUUCACAAUAUAUUUAACCUCAGUUUCCUCGAUAAAUUAGAUGAAGAAAUAUCAGGAUGCUAUUCAAAGGUGCAACGUAUCCUGCACGUGUACGUCAUAUGCUUAUGGAAUUAAAUCGUGCUGUUUGCAUUGACCAUCCAGAGGAGAAAAUUCCAUGGUUUCACGAGAAGUAUUGUGAAGAACUUCUUGAAACAGUUGCAGUUCCUAAUAGUGUCUUCCAUACUGAGGUACACCAAGCUCUUUCCCAGUUGGUUGGGGGACCUGAUGUCUUAAGAGCCAAUGUCAAAACUCCUUACUAUUAUCUUCUGG